rnacentral:rRNA from 1 species
UCCCGUCUGCUCUGUGAAGUUAAGCAGCCUCAAGCUCGGG